AGACUCUUCCCUACUGAAGAUUUGCAGCUUGUGUAAAUCAUCUUGGCUACCUCAGCUCAACUGCAUCGUGUCAAGCAGUCCAUGCACAGCCUAAGCAAUAGCAGUACAUCAUCUCAGAAGAGUACAGGGAGAGAUGGAAGGAAACAAGCUGACCAGGCGUGAGACUAUUCUAAACUGAGAACCAAGCUGGCACAUUAGCAUGGAACUCUGCUGGGGCUGAUCCCUCUGUUUCUGGAUCUAAACCAGUACUAGAAAUCUGUUCAACAAACCCACGUGAGACUUCCCAGUUUAAAGCUGCCACCACCAGCCUCCUGAAGUUUGAAGGUUCCACACCUUUGUCUGCUGGAGCCAAACAAAAGGAGACGAGAUAUGUCAUCUUACGGAUUUCACAAACAAAAGCACUCAAGUUGUGAGCUCAGGCCUCAGGAAACAAGUUCAGACACCAUGAAGUUCAACUGGCAAUUUUCUUGCCUGAGAGAGACUUGUUAGUGGAGACUCAAACCAGUUAGUGACGAAGAAUGUGGGCAUCACCUUUCACAACACUCACAUGCAUAAGAUUAGCUGACUCCAGCCCAUCCUCUCACUCCUUCCUUGAAGUCGGAUCAAAGUACCCCAACACAUUUCAGCAGGAGUCCUAAAAAUAUACUGAUCUGACAAAUAGCAACUCAGAUGUUUUGCUGGUUGGUCGCUGUUUGGGCGUUCUCCCCCCAGGUUUCAAAGAGAUUCUUGUAAGAUGUCUAUUUCCUCACGUACAAAUACAUGAUCCAGCCUCAUUAUGUGUAUUACUGAGAUUCAAGAGGACCAGACAAGUCUUAACCACCUAACUACAAGAUUCCCUAGACAUGUAAGCUUUGCUCAGAGACACAGCAGGCUGCUGCCUUUCAGCAAGCCCUUGUUGUUUUCAGUGCCUGAAGGGGCUCUGCUUCGGGCCCUACUUAAGGGAAACACAGAACACAGGACCAGAAGAAACCUCAUAUAGAAGUCUCUCUCCCAGCCCUGAGACUGAAUCAGCAGCACCUCUAUGAUUCUCAAUACAGUGAUGGUGCAGUUUUUCCCCCUAAAGGCUACAGAAAGGAUAGCUAGGAUAACUACAUCCAGCCCAAACAUCACUUUCUGCAACUCAAGUACCAUGCACAGAAAACACAGAGCAUCAUUCAUUCCUUUCUAUUUUGCGGUUAUCUUGUCUGUAUUUGAUGUCUUUUUUAUCUUUCAUCUGACUGCUCUUUCCUAGACUAGGGACUGACAUUUUUUCUGUCUUGUCUUGUAGAUCUUAACUGUUAGCAGGAGGACA